AAGACUGGACACCUUUCCUCCUCUCUGAGAGGUAAACAAAGUGGAGAAGGAGAGGGAGAGAGAGAAAGACUGGACACCUUUCCUCCUCUCUGAGAGGUAAACAAAGUGGAGAGAGAGAAAGACUGGACACCCUUCCUCCUCUCUGAGAGGUAAACAAAGUGGAGAAGGAGAGGGAGAGAGAGAAAGACUGGACACCUUUCCUCCUCUCUGAGAGGUAAACAAAGUGGAGAAGGAGAGGGAGAGAGAGAAAGACUGGACACCUUUCCUCCUCUCUGAGAGGUAAACAAAGUGGAGAGAGAGAAAGACUGGACACCCUUCCUCCUCUCUGAGAGGUAAACAAAGUGGAGAAGGAGAGGGAGAGAGAGAAAGACUGGACACCUUUCCUCCUCUCUGAGAGGUAAACAAAGUGGAGAAGGAGAGGGAGAGAGAGAAAGACUGGACACCUUUCCUCCUCUCUGAGAGGUAAACAAAGUGGAGAAGGAGAGGGAGAGAGAGAAAGACUGGACACCUUUCCUCCUCUCUGAGAGGUAAACAAAGUGGAGAGAGAGAAAGACUGGACACCUUUCCUCCUCUCUGAGAGGUAAACAAAGUGGAGAAGUAGAGGGAGAGAGAGAAAGACUGGACACCUUUCCUCCUCUCUGAGAGGUAAACAAAGUGGAGAAGGAGAGGGAGAGAAAGAAAGACUGGACACCUUUCCUCCUCUCUGAGAGGUAAACAAAGUGGAGAAGGAGAGGGAGAGAGAGAAAGACUGGACACCUUUCCUCCUCUCUGAGAGGUAAACAAAGUGGAGAAGGAGAGGGAGAGAGAGAAAGACUGGACACCUUUCCUCCUCUCUGAGAGGUAAACAAAGUGGAGAGAGAGAAAGACUGGACACCUUUCCUCCUCUCUGAGAGGUAAACAAAGUGGAGAGAGAGAGGGAGAGAGAGAAAGACUGGACACCUUUCCUCCUCUCUGAGAGGUAAACAAAGUGGAGAGAGAGAAAGACUGGACACCUUUCCUCCUCUCUGAGAGGUAAACAAAGUGGAGAAGGAGAGGAAGAGAGAGAAAGAGACUAGUUGUAUUGGGGAGAAGUGUUUCUUCUCAACACCAGGAGUAGGUUAGUCUCCUGGAGGGUGUCACACUUUCCGAUAUGUUUCUGUUUUAAACCUCUGGACUACAUUGAACCUUUUGGCAAAAUGUGACUUGUUUUUAUUCUGGGGUGAGUGAAACUGAAGUUUAAGUGUGAUGUGGUUUUCUUUAAGUAUGUAACAAAAAUAUAUUUUUUUAUACCAAGUGUU